UGGCUCAGGAUGAACGCUAGCGGCAGGCCUAACACAUGCAAGUCGAGGGGUAACGGGGAGCUUGCUCCGCCGACGACCGGCGCACGGGUGCGCACCGCGUAUGGAACCUACCUUCUACAGGGGAAUAGCCCAGGGAAACUUGGAUUAAUGCCCCGUGGUACUAUUAUAUGGCAUCAUAUUUUAGUUAAAGCCYUCGGGCGGUAGAAGAUGGCCAUGCGUCCCAUUAGCUUGUUGGUAAGGUAACGGCUUACCAAGGCUACGAUGGGUAGGGGCCCUGAGAGGGGGAUCCCCCACACUGGUACUGAGACACGGACCAGACUCCUACGGGAGGCAGCAGUGAGGAAUAUUGGACAAUGGAGGAGACUCUGAUCCAGCCAUGCCGCGUGCAGGAAGAAUGCCCUAUGGGUAGUAAACUGCUUUUAUACGGGAAGAAAAAGGGGCACGUGUGCCCUG
rnacentral:rRNA from 1 species